rnacentral:lncRNA from 1 species
AGUGACCUUCCAAAAUUGAUAUUGAAACUGAGAACACUAAAGGCCUAAGCCUAACCAGAACUCAGACUGGGACUUGAACCCAUGUGCUGGGACUCGAACCCAGACUGAACCCAGAUUGGGACUUGAACCCACCUGCCAGGACUUGAACCCAGCCAAAGCCAGAUUGGGACUCGAACCUAUGGUUUUAUUUACUUUUUAUCUUUUUUUGUAUUAAUGCUUAAUGAAUUUUAUUACAUUUAUAGGUGUACAACAAUAAUCACCACCAAAUUUUACAGCAUGUCCAUGCCAAGCCCUCAUUGCAUCCCCCCACCCCCCAACCUGUCUCAUUUGGAAACCAAACUUUUGCAAAGUCUGUGAGUCAUUAUCUGUCCUGCAAAGAAGUUCAUUGUGUUCUUUUUUUAGAUUCCGCAUGUCAGUGAUAGCAUUUGAUGUUGGUGUCUCAUUGACUGACUUCACUUAGCAUGAUAAUUUUUAGGUCCAUCCAUGUUGCUAAAAAUACCAUUAUUUCCUUUUAAUGACUGAGUAAUGUUCCAUUGUGUAUAUGUACCACAUCUUCUUUAUCCACUCCUCUGUCAAUGGACAUUUAGGUUGUUUCCAUGUUUUGGCUAUUGAAAAUAGUGCUGCAAUGAAGAUUGGAGUACAUGUGUCUUUUUGAGUAAUGGUUUUCUCUGGUUAGAUGCCCAGGAGUGGGAUUGCUGGAUCAAAUAGUAGUUCUAUUUUUAGUUUUCUGAGGAAUCUCCAUAUUGUGUUCCACAGUGGUUGCACCAAUUUACAUUCCCACUAACAGUGUAAUAAGUUGAACCCAUGGUUUUAAACCAGAAUCACUCACCCAGGAGUUCCCAUCAUGUCUCAGUGGUUAGUGAACCUAAAUAGCAUCCAUGAGGAAGUGGAUUUGAUCCCUGGAUUUUCUCAGUGGGUUAAGGAUCUGGCACUGGGGUGAGCUGUGGUGUAGAUCACAGACACAGCCCAGAUCCAGCAUUGCUAUGGCUCUGGCAUAGGCUGGUGGCUGCAGCUCUGAUUUGACCCCUAGCCUGGGAACCUCCAUAUGCCCCGGGAGAGGCCCAAGGGAUGGCAAAAAGACAAAAAAAAAAAAAAAAAAAAAAAAAAAAAAAANAAAAUCAGGUUUGCAGUGUAUUUCCUAAUAAUAAAAAGAACAGGACAAAAAAUUACAGAGAAAGUCUGAUCAAAGCAAUACACACCCCACACAAUAUUAUGUCAAGAGAAAAAUUCUGGUAGAAAAUGCUCAAAUAUAUUGACAGUGUUUUUCGUCAGGUGGCUAGACACUAAGCAACUCUUUGAAUUCUUCCUGUUCUGUUUCUUGUUUAGGGAGCAUACAUUACUUUUCUGAUGAAAAUAAAACACUUAAAUAAACCUGUGAGGAGUUCCCACUGUGGCACAACAGGUUCAGCAGCAUCUCUGAAGGGCCAAGGUUCAGAUUCAAUCCCUAGCUGGGUACAAUGAGUUAAAGUAUCUGAUCCCUGGCCUGGGAACUCCAUAUGACAAAGGGCAGCCAAGAAAGAAAAACAAACAAACAAACUGGUGAGACUUCCACAAUCCUCUAGAGAAGACAGAACUUUGAUAUCUUUUUUUAUUUUUUGCAAAGGGUCUCUGGGAAUGUCACCCAUCAUUAAGUUUAAAAUCCUCAAGAGGAGAAAGCUUUGAUUGGGAGGAGAGAAGACUUGUUUCGAGGAAAGGAGGAAGAGUGUUAUUGCCCUGUCAGUGAGACUGGACAUAACAUGAGGUAGUGUAGCUAGUCAGUGUAGGAACAUGUGCUCCAAUACAUUCUUCUGAUAUGGCUAUUGAUUAACAUUUGUAGCUUAAGGACUCCAGGCAGUAACACCUCCACAAGUCUUGUUUUAUUAUAGGAAAUGCAAAUUCCCCACAGACUUUGUUUACUAUAGGAAAUGCAAAUCUCUAUCCUACCCCUCAACUGAUAGAAAAGGAGUGAGAGGAAUGGUGACAUAAUCUAAGGAAAGACAAGAACAAAGAAACCUUAAAACUUACAUGGGACACGUCCAACCCUAAAACCCCUAUUGGACAAGGACCAAUAUAGGUAAUUGAGCAAGGCCAAUGGGAGAAAAAACACAUUUUUCUGGACUCCACGUUGGUGACCCUCCCCACCUUUAAGAGAUAAAAAUCCCUAAAGGACAAUAGAAAAGGUGGGCUCUUCUUCCCCCCUCCCAGCAGCCCUGGGAGCUAUUUGCUUUUCUUUAAUAAAGAAUUUGCUUGCUUGCUGCCUGUGUGUUCCUGGAGUUCAUUCUUACACUGCCCUGAACAAGAACCUGGAUUCUGGUUAUCAAUAACACAUCACUCCCCUGGCCCCAUUAAGUUUGCUCCUUCUCUGAGAUCUGUAAACUUGGACAUACUGUUAUGAAGACUGGUUACAGGCAGUUAGAGAG